CCCGGUGCUGCCGGCGCUGCGGGGCGGAGCGGCCGCGCACGGAAACCCGGCCGGGAAGAGCCGCCUUGUUCCCUGCCUUGUUCCCCGCCGUGUUCCCCGUUCCCCGAGCUGUUCCCGCAUACACACCGGGCGGCUGGAGCGGGAGAGCCUCCUCCACAUGCCGGGAAUGCCGGGGAGCAGGCCCGGCGGGGAAGCGCCGCCCCGGAGCGCGGGAAGGAGAGUGGCCGAGCUGCUCCCUCACGCAGGGCAGGGUGGAAAGAGUCAGCACAUCUCUCUUACCUACAGUACAGCUGGCUCUCUGAUCUGCACUUAAUCUGACCCAAGAUAGCUGUAAGCAGGAGAGAGCUGGGGAUUCAGAAACAUUGUAUGGGAGACAUGGAUAAAGCGCUGGAUCUACACCUUGUUAAUCAAAGCAUCACCUAAUCUGGACAGCUGGAAGUGCAGCACUGAGGGCUAUAUUUUAAGAUUAUUAAAUAAAACGAGUCUCGAGUCUC